GCAGCAGUGGGGAAUCUUAGACAAUGGGGGCAACCCUGAUCUAGCCAUGCCGCGUGAGUGAUGAAGGCCUUAGGGUUGUAAAGCUCUUUCAGCUGGGAAGAUAAUGACGGUACCAGCAGAAGAAGCCCCGGCUAACUCCGUGCCAGCAGCCGCGGUAAUACGGAGGGGGCUAGCGUUGUUCGGAAUUACUGGGCGUAAAGCGCACGUAGGCGGACCAGGAAGUCGGGGGUGAAAUCCCGGGGCUCAACCCCGGAACUGCCUUCGAAACUUCUGGUCUGGAGUUCGAGAGAGGUGAGUGGAAUUCCGAGUGUAGAGGUGAAAUUCGUAGAUAUUCGGAGGAACACCAGUGGCGAAGGCGGCUCACNGGCUCGAUACNGACGC
rnacentral:rRNA from 1 species